UAGGGAAUCUUCCACAAUGGACGGAAGUCUGAUGGAGCAACGCCGCGUGAGCGAAGAAGGUUUUCGGAUCGUAAAGCUCUGUUGUGAGGGAAGAACAAGUGCAGGAGUAACUGCCUGUACUUUGACGGUACCUCAUUAGAAAGCCACGGCUAACUACGUGCCAGCAGCCGCGGUAAUACGUAGGUGGCAAGCGUUGUCCGGAAUUAUUGGGCGUAAAGCGCGCGCAGGCGGCCUUUUAAGUCUGAUGUGAAAUCCCACGGCUCAACCGUGGAAAGUCAUUGGAAACUGGAAGGCUUGAGUACAGAAGAGGAAAGCGGAAUUCCACGUGUAGCGGUGAAAUGCGUAGAGACGUGGAGGAACACCAGUGGCGAAGGCGGCUUUCUGGUCUGUAACUGACGCUGAGGCGCGAAAGCGUGGGGAGCAAACAGGAUUAGAUACCCUGGUAGUCCACGCCGUAAACGAUGAGUGCUAAGUGUUA
rnacentral:rRNA from 1 species